GAUGAACGCUGGCGGCGUGCUUAACACAUGCAAGUCGAACGGUGAAGCCCUGCUUGCUGGGUGGAUUAGUGGCGAACGGGUGAGUAACACGUGAGUAAACCGCCCUCUACUCUGGGGUAAGCCUGGGAAAAUAGGGCUAUUAUCGGAUAGAGGAGCCUACCGCACGGUGGGUGUGGGAGAGAUUUAGCGGUUUUGGAUGGACGCGCGGCCUAUCAGCUUGUUGGUGUGGGAAUGGCUCACCAAGGCGACGACGGGUAGCCGGCCUGAGAGGGUGACCGGCCACACUGGGACUGAGACACGGCCCAGACUCCUACGGGAGGCAGCAGUGGGGAAUAUUGCACAAUGGGCGCAAGCCUGAUGCAGCGACGCCGCGUGCGGGAUGACGGCCUUCGGGUUGUAAACCUCUUUCGGUAGGGACGAAGCGAAAGUGACGGUACCUGCAGAAGAAGCACCGGCUAACUACGUG
rnacentral:rRNA from 1 species